AACGAACGCUGGCGGCAUGCCUAACACAUGCAAGUCGAACGAGACCUUCGGGUCUAGUGGCGCACGGGUGCGUAACGCGUGGGAACCUGCCCUUAGGUUCGGAAUAACUCCCCGAAAGGGGUGCUAAUACCGGAUAAUGUCUUCGGACCAAAGAUUUAUCGCCUUUGGAUGGGCCCGCGUUGGAUUAGCUAGUUGGUAGGGUAAAAGCCUACCAAGGCGACGAUCCAUAGCUGGUCUGAGAGGAUGAUCAGCCACACUGGGACUGAGACACGGCCCAGACCCCUAGGGGAGGCAGCAGGGGGGAAUAUUGGACAAGGGGCGAAAGCCUGUUCCAGCAAUGCCGGGGGAGGGAGGAAGGCCUUAGGGUUGUAAAGCUCUUUUACCCGGGAUGAUAAUGACAGUACCGGGAAAAUAAGCCCCGGCUAACUCCGU
rnacentral:rRNA from 1 species